rnacentral:rRNA from 1 species
UACGUAGGGGGCUAGCGUUGUCCGGAAUCAUUGGGCGUAAAGAGCGUGUAGGCGGCCCGGUAAGUCCGCUGUAAAAGUCAAAGGCUCAACCUUUGAAUGUCAGUGGAUACUGCCGGACUAGAGUUCGGAAGAGGCGAGUGGAAUUCCCGGUGUAGCGGUGAAAUGCGCAGAUAUCGGGAGGAACACCUAUGGCGAAGGCAGCUCGCUGGGACGUUACUGACGCUGAGACGCGAAAGCGUGGGGAGCAAACAGG